rnacentral:rRNA from 1 species
GAAUAUUGGUCAAUGGACGCAAGUCUGAACCAGCCAUGCCGCGUGCAGGAUGAAGGCGCUAUGCGUUGUAAACUGCUUUUAUCAGGGAAGAAACCCCCCGAUUCUUCGGGGGCUGACGGUACCUGAGGAAUAAGCACCGGCUAACUCCGUGCCAGCAGCCGCGGUAAUACGGAGGGUGCAAGCGUUAUCCGGACUCACUGGGUUUAAAGGGUGCGUAGGUGGAUUGGUAAGUCAGUGGUGAAAGCUCCAGGCUUAACUUGGAAAUUGCCAUUGAUACUGCCAAUCUUGAGUACAGUUGAGGUGGGCGGAAUGUGCGGUGUAGCGGUGAAAUGCUUAGAUAUCGCACAGAACACCAAUUGCGAAGGCAGCUCACUAAACUGUUACUGACGCUGAGGCACGAAAGCGUGGGGAGCAAACGGG